UGAACUUACAAUUCUGUCUAGCUGGGCCC
rnacentral:piRNA from 1 species